rnacentral:lncRNA from 1 species
AAAAAUAUGGCUCCUAAUAUUUCGGAGUUCUUAGUACAAUUGAUAUCGUGAACCAUCGACUAAUAUCGUUGCAACAAUUCAGUGUGAUUUACUGCUCAGCUGGUGAGAUGUACUUGGGUGUUGCUUAUUCCGAUGUUCAGGGCCUUCAGGCACUGAACCGUCCAUCAUGUUUCCUGAUUAAUAGAACUUUCAGUUUGAUGUUUCAUCUAUAAUAUCGAUAAAUGACAGUAUACUAAUUCAAGUAUCUUAUCUCUUUUUAAGGUAUUCGAUGCUAUAAUAUGUGACCCACCUUAUGGAGUCCGUGCUGGAGGUCGGAAAUCUGGUGGCCGGAAAUUGCUG